AUAUGCGUGUAUAUCGCCACCGGCACGACAUCCUGCGUCUAACCAAACCCUAUAAAUCAUCCACGAAAGCGGAAAUAAGAAAUCUCCGGAAAAACCACGACUAUAGGAUUAAAGAAAAGAGAUGGAAGAGGAGGAAGCAGAAAUAUACGACGGAGUUAGAGCACAGUUCCCUCUAACAUUCGGCAAACAAUCAAAAUCUCAAACACCUCUCGAACAAAUCCAUAACACCACUAUCCGAAAAGCACCACCCACCUCCGCCGCCAACGCCGAAACCCAAUCCUCUCUUUCCUCUUCUUCUAAAGCCUGGCUCGAUUCUCUCCGUCCCACACCUAAAUCCUCCUCCAACCCCACCCCUUCACUUGGACCGCCACCACCGCGGCCUACUGGUUCCAAUUCAUUCGUUGCCCAUGUUUCGAUUGGACCUCCUCGACCACAAGCUCGGGGUGUAGACGACGACGAUGAUGGGGAAGUUAUGGUGGGGCCUCCGCGGCCUCCGCCGGGACUGGCUGCUGCUAAUGAUGAGGAGGAGGAUGGUGUGAUGAUCGGACCACUUCGUCCGCCGGAACCAGCGGAUUCGGAUGAGGAGGAUUUUCUGUAUCGGAUUCCAACGAGUAAUGAGAUUGUACUUGGAGGCCACUCUAAGGUUGUUUCAGCUCUUGCUGUAGAUCAUACUGGGUCUAGAGUUCUUUCUGGUAGUUACGACUAUACAGUUAGAAUGUACGAUUUUCAAGGGAUGAAUUCGCGUUUACAAUCAUUUAGGCAGCUCGAACCAUUUGAAGGCCAUCAAGUUCGUAAUUUGAGCUGGAGUCCUUCCGCAGACCGGUUUUUAUGCGUCACUGGUUCUGCUCAAGCUAAGAUAUUUGACCGUGAUGGGCUUACACUAGGUGAGUUUGUCAAGGGGGAUAUGUAUAUUCGUGACUUGAAGAAUACAAAAGGUCACAUUUCUGGACUGACUUGCGGGGAGUGGCAUCCUCAAGCCAAGGAGACAAUUCUAACAUCAUCAGAGGACGGUUCACUACGUAUAUGGGAUGUGAAUGAUUUCAAAAGUCAAAAGCAGGUCAUUAAACCAAAGCUUGCUCGGCCUGGAAGAGUUCCAGUUACCACAUGUGCUUGGGAUCGUGAAGGAAAACGUGUUGCUGGUGGCAUUGGAGAUGGUUCUAUACAGAUAUGGAGCCUUAAGCCUGGAUGGGGAAGUAGGCCAGAUGUUUUUGUUGAGAAGGGUCAUUCAGAUGACAUCACUUGCCUCAAAUUUUCAAGUGAUGGACAAAUUUUACUCUCAAGAAGCUCUGAUUGUUCACUGAAGGUUUGGGAUUUGCGGCAAAUGAAAGAGGCCCUUAAAGUCUUUGAGAAUCUUCCAAAUAACUAUGCUCAAACAAAUAUUGCAUUUAGUCCUGAUGAGCAGCUAUUCUUGACUGGAACAUCUUUUGAAAGGGAGAGCAAAACUGGAGGUGUAUUGUGCUUUUACAACCGGGCAAAACUUGAACUUGUUUCAAGAGUUGGUAUUUCUCUAACUAGCAGUGUUGUGCAAUGUGCUUGGCAUCCAAAGCUAAAUCAGAUCUUUGCAACAGCUGGAGAUAAAAGCCAAGGAGGAACCCACGUACUAUAUGAUCCAACCCUCAGUGAGAGAGGAGCUCUUGUAUGUGUUGCAUCUGCACCUCGGAAAAAAUCUUUGGAUGAUUUUGAGGUGCAGCCCGUCAUUCACAACCCUCACGCACUACCCUUGUUUAGAGAUCAGCCAAGCCGAAAGCGUCAGCGAGAGAAAACAUUGAAGGAUCCCCUUAAGUCCCACAAACCUGAACUUCCAAUGACAGGACCAGGUUUUGGUGGAAGAGUUGGUGCUAGUAAAGGAAGCUUAUUGACUCAAUAUCUUCUUAAGCAAGGGGGAAUGAUCAAGGAGACAUGGAUGGAGGAAGACCCACGAGAAGCUAUAUUGAAGUAUGCUGAUGCUGCAGAAAAAGAUCCCAAAUACAUUGCUCCAGCAUAUGCGCAAACCCAGCCUGACCCAGUUUUUGCGAAGUCGGAUUCCGAGGAUGAAGAAAAAUGAUCCAACUAUGAUGGUCGGUCUGCCUCUACAUUAACCUCAAUUUUAUUUCAGAAGCUGAAACAUUGAAGUGAACAUCAAUGAAUAUGUAGAGCUAAACAUCACCAAUUCACGGUUGAUGGCUCCAAAAGCCUUUUGUCAGUAACAGCAGCAACCGAGGCCAUCAUCCUGCAUUGCUUAGAUUAUCUUAGUUACCAUCUCGAAAGAUUGCUCCGGGACUUGGAAACGAUCAAGUUAGGAGCUCUCAUGCUCAAAGCUCGACAAGCGGGAGCCUGAAAGCACGGCAAACAGUUGUCUACGAAAUGCUGCAAAACCCAAAAACCAUUGAAAGCCAAUUCGAAAAUCAAGACUGCAAAUCAGCUUGUGAAAAGAAGUAUGAACGAAAGUGGACUUUCAAGGGAAUGAAAGUCUCCUUAAUAAAUGCUCGGUCCCUCAAGGGGGAGAGAGAGAGGAAACAGUAAAAACAUUUGAAAAGUACCAUGCUUAAAGAAGUACAUGUUCUCAAAUCAUGAGAAAGUCUUAAUGAAGGAAGUGAUGCAUGGACAAGAUUAGAGGUUUUUAUCUUCGAGUCAGCAGGUUCGUGCUUUAUCUAUUUUCUUCUCGUGACUAGCCUCCAAUAUCCUAUUUUAUUUGUCUGAUUAACUCGAGUUACUACCACGAAAGAUUAGAUAAAGCACGUUUCAUAAAAAAUGUUCAAUGUCAGAGGAAUCCUGAACUUCUUAUUGACUUU